CCUUUUUUUCAACUGCUCUCAUCUGUGCCUGUCAAUCAAGAAGCAAAGGAGCAUGGUGCAGGCUGUGGAAAACACCGUCUCUGCUGAAAUCACCAUCAAAGCAACCACUUAACUUUCACUUCAAUGGUGAGACACAACAGACGGGUCAAAUCAGCUUAAUUCCGGAUCCAGAUUUGAACUUAAACCUCCACCUACAGGAUUCUCGAAGCGAGAGUUGGAACAUCUGAACCCAUCACAAUGUCUUAUGAGCGCAUUCUGUCCAUCGAAGAUUUGAGCGAUGUUCCAAAUCCAUGGAAAGGAUUCACCAUGAACCGCUGCUUAGUGCUGGCACUGGUCCUUCUGCUCGUGAGCUCGGGGGUCAGUGAAGUGCACGAUGCAAUGGAUUCUUUUGUUGAGGACACAGGUAUCAUGUCUUUCCUUGGAAGUCUGCAGGAUGGUUCACUAUAUCAGAUUUCCAUAUGGGACAAUUUCAUGUCGUGGUGGGGAUCCGAAGAAGUCGGAGCGAUAAGAAGAAGAAAAAAGCCGAUUGGCAACAGAGCAAUCCUGAAACCCAAACCUAAAGUAUGAUUUGUAUAAAUAAAUAAAAAAUACAUGUCAUCAACUGUCACACAACAACAGGUUUCUGAAUAAAGAGCACAAACAGCCUUUCAUAUACGUUUCAUUUAAUAAUAUAAAAACCCAGAAUGAUACAUUUAUUAAUCCAUUUUUGUUAAUUUAUAGAGAACGCCAUUAAAUUUGUCAGGCAGUUGAAAUCUGUAUCACAUUUAUAUCUUCAAUAAUUUAAUCAAAUCUAACUUUUAGUAUCACCAAUUUAGAAAUGUCACUUACCGCCACAUUGUAACACAAUCUUGUAUUGUCAUCAGAUGUCACCAAGUUAUUAACAUAUUUGGAACAAUAAUUACAUGAUGGAAUCUUAAUUAAGAUUCUUAUGAUAAUGAUAAGAAAUUUGCCCUGACAAAACAAUGGCUUUUUAUACAAAUAAGAUUAGUAAUUAAAAUAAAAAUAUGACAGAGAAGGGUGAUAAUACUCAUUUGACUUAUUUGGUUUAAAUAAACUUGAAUAUUUUUAAGUGUGGGAAUACUGCAAAUAAUACAUUGUCUACAUAUAUAUAAGUAUAUGGCCUAAAGAGACCUCUGUGAAUUAACAUGUUU